rnacentral:rRNA from 1 species
UACGUAGGGUCCGAGCGUUGUCCGGAAUUAUUGGGCGUAAAGGAUGCGUAGAUGGUGUAGUAAGUUAUCGGUGGCAAAUCGAGGCUCAACCUCGUGGAAGUCGGUAAUACUGCUAUGCUAGAGGAUAGGAGAGGUUAACGGAACUCCCUGUGGAGCGGUGAAAUGCGUAGAUAUAGGGAAGAACACCAAUCAGGCGAAGGCAGUUAACUAUUCUAUUCCUGACAUUGAGGCAUGAAAGCGUGGGGAGCAAAACGG